GUGGGGAAUCUUGCGCAAUGGGCGAAAGCCUGACGCAGCCAUGCCGCGUGAACGAUGAAGGCCUUAGGGUUGUAAAGUUCUUUUACCCGUGACGAUGAUGACGGUAACGGGAGAAUAAGCUCCGGCUAACUUCGUGCCAGCAGCCGCGGUAAUACGAAGGGGGCUAGCGUUGUUCGGAAUUACUGGGCGUAAAGCGCGCGCAGGCGGUUCGAUAAGUUGGGGGUGAAAUCCCCGGGCUCAACCCGGGAAUGGCCUUCAAGACUGUCGAGCUAGAGGACGAGAGAGGUGAGUGGAAUUCCCAGUGUAGAGGUGAAAUUCGUAGAUAUUGGGAAGAACACCGGUGGCGAAGGCGGCUCACUGGCUCGUUUCUGACGCUGAGGCGCGAAAGCGUGGGGAGCAAACAGGAUUAGAUACCCCGGUAGUCC
rnacentral:rRNA from 1 species